rnacentral:lncRNA from 1 species
AGCAGACAAAAUGGCCACCAUUGAAUAAUUAAUAUGCGGGUCCAUUAACAAGGCAUUAGAAUGCAUUCUAUCUCUUAUUGAUUUUUUCCUGUCUUUUUUUUUUUUUGCAUUGAAAACUUUUACUCCAUCCGUAGACCACUCUGCGUCCAGCGCUGGAGAGAGUGAAAUAUGGCUGCUGCUGUUUAAAUGUCAGCUUUGUAAUUACACAUGGAGCCACGAGCUGGGCAAUCCCUCGGCCUGAGGGCCUCUGAUUUAUGGUCAGGCGCUGAUGGUGACUGCACAGACACGUACAGACAAACAUACGUAUGCACAGAACAUUACUUUCCCUCACACGCACGCACAACCCAAACUCUGAUUACACCUUAUGUCACUGUAGAGUUUAUAUCCGUAGGAAUUUGAGGACAAAAACUCAUUAUGAUUAUUUUUAGAUAUAUGUAUGUAUACCUCUUUGGUUUUAGAAACUCCCAAGCACUCGACAUUCUAGAAACUGACCGUUUCAUCAAUUUGCCAACAUCUAAAUCUCUACAAAUCUCUUUCUGUGAUUGUAAUCUGUGACUUGUGUGCAGAUUUGUCUCCUUAUUUUAUCGUGUUCUUCUUGGUAUUUAUUGCGUGUUAUUUUUACUUCUUUAGAUCGAACGGUCCUUCUCAUCCAGGGCAUUUCACUGCAUUGUUGAUUUUGUUUAACCUGCAUAUGACAAAUAAACCAAUCUUGAAUCUCUUGAAUGUUGAAUCUUUUCUUGUUUGGUAGCGCUUACACACAUUAUGCCUCACAAAUGCACUAUGCAUGUAAACAGGUAGUGCUGAAAGAUAAUGAUAUCUAUUGAAAAUAAAAUCUGUGGGUCACAAAAAGUUGUGAAGACUUAAAGAUUUGAGACUGUUUAUAAUGAUCAUCUAGUCUAGAUAAUAAAACAAAGUUACUUCAACAAGCACGCCUACAUUAAAGGAUUAAAACUUUAAGCUGUACAGUUCUACCCUUGAAAUAAGUCAGCUGAUAACAAGAAAACUUCACUAACAAUACCAAAAUCUUUGUUUUCCAUAAUUGUAAAUUGAAUAUUACGACGGAAGAAGUUUUGUCACCUUUAAGAUGUUUUUACAGAUGCACCAAACCUGGAAAAUUCACUAUCUUGGAGGGAUGACAAUUUUUUUUUGCAUCAUGUCUCACCACCUGAGACAACCCCUUGACCAACAUUGAAAAGGUGGGAGGAGUCUAAUGGGGCGCUCACACCAAAAUCAUCUACUUGAUUAAUUCACACGAAUUUAGACACGUGAAUGAAUAAUAUUUACUCGCUUCAUUUGUGCGUCAACGGUAUUUUCAACGGUAAUCCCUGCCAAUUCAACCAGCAAUAGAUCAAGCGAUAGACAAAAGUUUUUUACAAUUUACCAGGUAAUCCGACCUCCUCACUCACUUGCCUCCAGGUGAGUUCCUUUUUAUUCCGGAUUCGGUAACUGAAAGAAAAGGUAUCAUACAAUUCAGGGCACCCACCCACACACCAACACGAUCAGUUUGUCCUCCAUUUUAGAUACCAGUGAACAACCCUCUGUUUUCAUACAUCACUCAGCAACCUUCAUGCUCAUUAGUUAUCACGAUGCGAAUAUCCGUUCAAGUUGAGACAUGUUUAGCUCCCGCUCAAUUCGCGUCAUUCGUGCCGCCAGACUAGUAGGAGCGUCUUAUCGCGUCUUUGCAUUGACUUAACAUGUAAUUCAUUCGCGCAAAUGAUUUCUCGUGCUUGGUGUGUACAGACGGUUAGGGUCCAUGACUGACUGAAGUUUAUUACAUGGAAUGUAAAUGGAGAGAAAGUGGGGUCCCAGUACAAUUUUUGUCGUCAGGGGGCCCUAAAUCUCUGGUGGUGCCCCCGCUUAUACCAGGAAAACUGCAUACUCUGUAGGAUAGAUAGAUGGAUAUGCAGCUUUGGAAAAUUUCAAGGAUGUCUAGAUAUUUACUAGAUAUUUUCAGAGGUACAACAAGUGACUUUGCCCCAAGUUGACUCCGAUGGGGAUUCUGUUCCCUCACUAAUUGGAGAGAAAAUAAUUACCGCAAUCCAUUUUUGGCUCUGCUUUGAUUUAUGGCUGUCAACAUUGUCAGUCCUUUUUCAAGUAUCUGUGAGACUCACAUAAAGUUCAGCCCAGCCCCCGUUUAUUCCUCUUGCCAGUAUUUUUGCUCAGUGGUCUAACACAGUGUCUAGUGGCAUGUGGGACACCCUAGUUCAAUACCCCCUCCCUUGUGCACACCGCCCAUCAGUCAGAUUCUGGGCUCAGAUACCUGCUGGGAAAACCAAUCUAUAACUGGACGAAUGGAGGAGGAGAGGCGAGGCCAGAUCAAUGUACAGAUAUUGAUACACGCAGCCAUGCAAGGAGACUACACUCCUUCUGAACUCAUUCUCUCGCUCACUGAAAAGAUUAGGAAUCCAGAUGAACUGCUGAGUAAGGUGUGUGUGGGUGUGUGUGUGUGUGUGUAGAUGACAAAAGAGACACUGUAACAGUGAGGCAGAUAGUACAGAUAGAGCAAGAGAAGAGAAAGAGGGAGUGGAGAUAUGCAGUGGAGGCACAGAUUACCACCACAGAGAUCAGUAAUGGUGUGAGGGGAGCAUGUCAAUAAUAAAUACCUCCUAUUACAGCACGGUGGACUGCUGCAGCAGCCUGUACAACACGACACCCGCUGACUCCCUGAUCUAUCCCAAAUUACCCUGAUGCUCUCACACUGAGCUUCGGUAGACAACAACACGCGCCAACUGCAUCAAAUGCGGAGAUAAACAGCAGAAAAAACUAUGAAAUGACACGUAGAGCUGCAGCAGUGGAGUCAUUUUGAACACUGUACAGAGGUCGAACAUCAGGGUUCGAUCCCCUCUGAAGACUCCCUGUUGGGGUUUGGACUUUUUUUUAAGAUUCCCCUCCCAACUCUUUAGAGAGAGACGAGACUUGACAUCCAGGUGUUUUAUAGUAUUUGUGGCUCUGAUCAUCCAUCAAGCCGAUCGAUCACUCUCCCAGCAGCUUUUAUUAAUGAUCUUGUCAGGCAGCCCGCUCUCGGGUGCAGCCGCUUGUCCAGAAUGAUAGAUCAUUAGCUAGUCUGCCUGCUAUUUAUUCUCUCAUGACCUUGUCUCUCUCCAUUGUUGAGUGGGCCGAGUUAUGAGAGCUAGAACAUGAUAAUUCACUAUUGAUUCUGAUUUUUUUUUUUCUACAAAAACUUUUUUACCUGUGCUCGACUGCAGAGACAAAGAUGUGGUAGAGGUAACAGAAGCAGUAUUUAAGUCAAUGUAGCAACGAAACAAAAACACUCAGUUGUUGGUUAAAGAUAUUCACAAUGUACCCAUUAAUAAAGAAAUGCUCUAUUAAGUAUUUCAUUGAUACACCAUUUGAUACUUUUUAAUCUU